GAGGGUAGAGCUCAGUGGUAGAGUGCGUGCUUAGCAUGCAUGAGGUCAUGGGUUCAAUCCCCAGUACCUCUG
rnacentral:tRNA from 1 species